rnacentral:rRNA from 1 species
UAGUCCACGCCGUAAACGAUGCUUACUCGCUGUUGGCGAUAUUACUGUCAGCGGCCAAGCGAAAGCGUUAAGUAAGCCACCUGGGGAGUACGCCCGCAAGGGUGAAACUCAAAGGAAUUGACGGGGGCCCGCACAAGCGGAGGAGCAUGUGGUUUAAUUCGAUGAUACGCGAGGAACCUUACCAGGGCUUAAAUGUAGAUUGACAGGACUAGAGAUAGUUUUUCCUUCGGGCAAUUUACAAGGUGCUGCAUGGUUGUCGUCAGCUCGUGCCGUGAGGUGUCAGGUUAAGUCCUAUAACGAGCGCAACCCCUGCCGUUAGUUGCCAGCAUGUUAUGAUGGGGACUCUAACGGGACUGCCGGUGCAAACCGUGAGGAAGGUGGGGAUGACGUCAAAUCAUCACGGCCCUUACGUCCUGGGCCACACACGUGCUACAAUGGCCGGUACAGAGAGCAGCCAUGCUGUAAAGCAGAGCGAAUCUACAAAGCCGGUCACAGUUCGGAUUGGGGU